UAGGGAAUAUUGCACAAUGGGCGAAAGCCUGAUGCAGCAACGCCGCGUGCGCGAUGAAGGCCUUCGGGUUGUAAAGCGCUUUUCGGGGAGACGAGGAAGGACGGUAUCCCCGGAAUAAGGAUCGGCUAACUACGUGCCAGCAGCCGCGGUAAAACGUAGGAUCCGAGCGUUAUCCGAAUUCACUGGGCGUAAAGCGCGAGCAGGCGGUACGAUAAGUUGGGUGUAAAAUCUCCUGGCUCAACUGGGAGAGGACGUUCAAUACUGUCGAACUAGAGGGCGGUAGAGGGAGGUGGAAUUCCCGGUGUAGUGGUGAAAUGCGUAGAUAUCGGGAGGAACACCAGUGGCGAAAGCGGCCUCCUGGACCGUGCCUGACGCUGAGAUGCGAAAGCUAGGGGAGCGAACGG
rnacentral:rRNA from 1 species